GAUGAACGCUGACAGAAUGCUUAACACAUGCAAGUCUUUGGCGAAGCUGUGCUUGCACAGCCUAGCCAAGGCGGACGAGUGAGUAACGCGUAAGGAACUUGCCUUGCAGUCAGGGAGAACAGACGGAGACGACUGGUAAGACCUGGCAAAUUCAGGCGGGCUCAUAUCGAGCGUGAUGAAAAGAGAUGCUGCAGGAGAGCCUUGCGUCCUAUUAGCUUGUUGGUGGGGGAACGGCCCACCAAGGCGAUGAGAGGUAGCCGGCCUGGGAGGGUGGACGGCCACAAGGGGACUGAGAUACGGCCGUUACUCCUACGGGAGGAAGGAGUGGGGAAUAUUGGACAAUGGGGGCAACCCUGAUCAAGCAAUUCGGUGUGGAAGAUGAAGGUUUUCGGAUUGAAAAGUGCUUUCAGAAGGGAAGAAAAAAAUGACGGUACCUGCAGAAGAAGCGACGGCUAAAUACGUG
rnacentral:rRNA from 1 species